rnacentral:rRNA from 1 species
GACAUCCCGGAGACCCUUAGGGAACUAGGGGGUGCUUCCAUCUGGAAGAAUCUGGAGACAGGUGCUGCAUGGCUGUCGUCAGCUCGUGUCGUGAGAUGUUGGGUUAAGUCCCGCAACGAGCGCAACCCUUGCCUUUAGUUGCCAGCAGUUCGGCUGGGCACUCUAAAGGGACUGCCGGUGUUAAACCGGAGGAAGGUGGGGAUGACGUCAAGUCCUCAUGGCCUUUAUGACCAGGGCUACACACGUACUACAAUGGCCGAUACAAAGGGCAGCGACACUGCGAGGUGAAGCCAAUCCCGUAAAAUCGGUCUCAGUCCGGAUUGGAGUCUGCAACUCGACUCCAUGAAGUUGGAAUCGCUAGUAAUCGUGGAUCAGCAUGCCACGGUGAAUACGUUCCCGGGCCUU